rnacentral:rRNA from 1 species
UAAGGAAUAUUGGUCAAUGGGGGCAACCCUGAACCAGCCAUGCCGCGUGCAGGAUGAAGGCCCUAUGGGUCGUAAACUGCUUUUAUACCGGAGAAAACCCGAGUGCGUGUACUCGGUUGAUAGUAUGGUAAGAAUAAGCAUCGGCUAACUUCGUGCCAGCAGCCGCGGUAAGACGAAGGAUGCAAGCGUUAUCCGGAUUCAUUGGGUUUAAAGGGUGCGUAGGCGGACUUGUAAGUCAGUGGUGAAAUCUCUCGGCUUAACCGAGAAACUGCCAUUGAUACUGUUAGUCUAGAGUACAGAUGAUGUGGGCGGAAUAUGACAUGUAGUGGUGAAAUACUUAGAUAUGUCAUAGAACACCGAUUGCGAAGGCAGCUCACAAAACUGUAACUGACGCUGAGGCACGAAAGUGCGGGGAUCAAACAGGAUUAGAUACCCCAGUAGUCCCUGAGCGGGCUGGCAAGGCGCAU